AAUCCAUGGUAUGGACAGUUCCUUUGUAACCCCUUAUAUUGAACCCAGGCAUCAUAAAAGGUUUCUCUCUCUUCUUGAUGAAAUUGAAGGAUGGCAUUUUGGAGUUU